UGUGAGGAAUUAAAUGUGAAACAAAUAGCAACAAAAUAAGCCUUUUCUCCAAAAGUGUAAACGACACACAUGCAGUAGGCUUAGUACUCAUGUAUAAUAUCAACCAUAGUUCAUAUAUGUCUCUUCUUCAUGUCUCUAAAUAUCUAAAUGUUCCUUCAGAGAUAUACUUGAAGACGACCCAGGCGGCCAAACUGUCGUACGUUGUGUUCAUCGUGAAGAGCAGCGUCUACGGCGCCGGCGUGGCCUUCCUGCUGUGGAGGCUGCAGGGAUCAGCGGGGAAGCAGAACAACUGAGAGCCGAGGCCGGAGAAAAUAGAUCCAGGGCAUCAGUAAUGCUUCUGUAAAUCAAACGGUGUGAGAACAUUGAAGUGAUAUAACCACAGCUCUGUCUGUCUGCAGGCCUUUCUUCCCCUUCAAUCCAGAUUCCUGUUCAAGCUAAAUAUGACAUCAAAUACUUCAACAUUAUAAAUUGUUCUUAUACUGAUUCUGUGUUUGUGUAUCGCUUGUUCGCUUAAUUUUCUUCUCAAUAAAAACUCUUUCAUCCAA